rnacentral:rRNA from 1 species
UGGGGAAUAUUGCACAAUGGGCGAAAGCCUGAUGCAGCGACGCCGCGUGAGGGAUGACGGCCUUCGGGUUGUAAACCUCUUUCAGCAGGGACGAAGCGUAAGUGACGGUACCUGCAGAAGAAGCACCGGCUAACUACGUGCCAGCAGCCGCGGUAAUACGUAGGGUGCAAGCGUUGUCCGGAAUUACUGGGCGUAAAGAGUUCGUAGGCGGUUUGUCGCGUCGUUUGUGAAAACCAGCAGCUCAACUGCUGGCUUGCAGGCGAUACGGGCAGACUUGAGUACUGCAGGGGAGACUGGAAUUCCUGGUGUAGCGGUGAAAUGCGCAGAUAUCAGGAGGAACACCGGUGGCGAAGGCGGGUCUCUGGGCAGUAACUGACGCUGAGGAACGAAAGCGUGGGUAGCGAACAGG